AUUGAACGCUGGCGGCAGGCUUAACACAUGCAAGUCGAGCAGGGUGAUGGUGCUUGCACUAUCACUUAGCGGCGGACGGGUGAGUAAUGCUUAGGAAUCUGCCUAUUAGUGGGGGACAACAUCUCGAAAGGGAUGCUAAUACCGCAUACGUCCUACGGGAGAAAGCAGGGGAUCACUUGUGACCUUGCGCUAAUAGAUGAGCCUAAGUCGGAUUAGCUAGUUGGUGGGGUAAAGGCCUACCAAGGCGACGAUCUGUAGCGGGUCUGAGAGGAUGAUCGGCCACACUGGGACUGAGACAAGGCCCAGACUCCUACGGAAGGCAGCAGUGGGGAAUAUUGGACAAUGGGGGGAACCCUGAUCCAGCCAUGCCGCGUGUGUGAAGAAGGCCUUAUGGUUGUAAAGCACUUUAAGCGAGGAGGAGGCUCUUUUGGUUAAUACCCAAGAUGAGUGGACGUUACUCGCAGAAUAAGCACCGGCUAACUCUGUGCCAGCAGCCGCGGUAA
rnacentral:rRNA from 1 species